rnacentral:rRNA from 1 species
UGGGUGACCUGCCCUCAGCUCUGGGAUAAGCCUGGGAAACUGGGUCUAAUACUGGAUAUUCACUUCUCAUCGCAUGGUGGGUGGUGGAAAGUUUUUUCGGCUGGGGAUGGGCCCGCGGCCUAUCAGCUUGUUGGUGGGGUGAUGGCCUACCAAGGCGACGACGGGUAGCCGGCCUGAGAGGGUGUCCGGCCACACUGGGACUGAGAUACGGCCCAGACUCCGUACGGGAG